rnacentral:rRNA from 1 species
AAUAGAUACCCCGGUAGUCCACGCCCUAAACGAUGCUCACUAGGUGUUGGGGAAGCGAUUCCUUGGUACCGUAGCUAACGCGUGAAGUGAGCCGCCUGGGGAGUACGGCCGCAAGGUUAAAACUCAAAGGAAUUGACGGGGACCCGCACAAGCGGUGGAUGAUGUGGAUUAAUUCGAUGCAACGCGAACAACCUUACCUACCCUUGACAUGUCCGGAAGCCUGCUGAAAGGCGGGGGUGCUCGAAAGAGAACCGGAACACAGGUGCUGCAUGGCUGUCGUCAGCUCGUGUCGUGAGAUGUUGGGUUAAGUCCCGCAACGAGCGCAACCCUUGUCCCUAGUUGCUACGCAAGGGCACUCUAGGGAGACUGCCGGUGACAAACCGGAGGAAGGUGGGGAUGACGUCAAGUCCUCAUGGCCCUUAUGGGGUAGGGCUUCACACGUCAUACAAUGGACGGUACAGAGGGUUGCCAACCCGCGAGGGGGAGCCAAUCCCAGAAAGCCGUUCGUAGUCCGGAUCGCAGUCUGCAACUCGACUGCGUGAAGUCGG